rnacentral:rRNA from 1 species
GAGUUUGAUCAUGGCUCAGGACGAACGCUGGCGGCGUGCUUAACACAUGCAAGUCGAACGGUAAGGCUCCAGCUUGCUGGGGUACACGAGUGGCGAACGGGUGAGUAACACGUGGGUGACCUGCCCUGCACUUCGGGAUAAGCCUGGGAAACUGGGUCUAAUACCGGAUAGGACCGCACCGUGAGGGUGUGGUGGAAAGUUUUUUCGGUGUGGGAUGGGCCCGCGGCCUAUCAGCUUGUUGGUGGGGUAAUGGCCUACCAAGGCGGCGACGGGUAGCCGGCCUGAGAGGGUGGACGGCCACAUUGGGACUGAGACACGGCCCAGACUCCUACGGGAGGCAGCAGUGGGGAAUAUUGCACAAUGGGCGGAAGCCUGAUGCAGCGACGCCGCGUGGGGA